rnacentral:rRNA from 1 species
GCGGCGGACGGGUGAGUAACACGUGGGCAACCUGCCCUGCAGACUGGGAUAACUUCGGGAAACCGGAGCUAAUACCGGAUAACACCGAAAACCGCAUGGUUUUCGGUUGAAAGGCGGCUUUUAGCUGUCACUGCAGGAUGGGCCCGCGGCGCAUUAGCUAGUUGGUGAGGUAACGGCUCACCAAGGCGACGAUGCGUAGCCGACCUGAGAGGGUGACCGGCCACACUGGGACUGAGACACGGCCCAAACUCCUACGGGAGGCAGCAGUAGGGAAUCUUCCGCAAUGGACGAAAGUCUGACGGACCAACGCCGCGUGAGCAAAGAAGGUCUUCGGAUCGUAAAGCUCUGUUGUCAGGGAAGAACAAGUGCCGUUCGAACAGGGCGGUACCUUGACGGUACCUGACGAGGAAGCCACGGUUAACUACGUGCCACCAGCCGCGGUAAUAC